rnacentral:rRNA from 1 species
AGACCCGAAACCCGGUGAUCUAGCCAUGGGCAGGUUGAAGGUUGGGUAACACUAACUGGAGGACCGAACCGACUAAUGUUGAAAAAUUAGCGGAUGACCUGUGGCUGGGGGUGAAAGGCCAAUCAAACCGGGAGAUAGCUGGUUCUCCCCGAAAGCUAUUUAGGUAGCGCCUCGUGAAUUCAUCUCCGGGGGUAGAGCACUGUUUCGGCUAGGGGGCCAUCCCGGCUUACCAACCCGAUGCAAACUGCGAAUACCGGAGAAUGUUAUCACGGGAGACACACGGCGGGUGCUAACGUCCGUCGUGAAGAGGGAAACAACCCAGACCGCCAGCUAAGGUCCCAAAGUCAUGGUUAAGUGGGAAACGAUGUGGGAAGGCCCAGACAGCCAGGAUGUUGGCUUAGAAGCAGCCAUCAUUUAAAGAAAGCGUAAUAGCUCACUGGUCGAGUCGGCCUGCGCGGAAGAUGUAACGGGGCUAAACCAUGCACCGAAGCUGCGGCAGCGAACGUAUCACUUAAAGCGAUUCAGCGGGUUACGAUUGACGGAGCGAAGCGACGUCAAAGCGUAUACAAAGUCGAGUCGGUUUAAGGAUACGUUCGUUGGGUAGGGGAGCGUUCUGUAAGCCUGUGAAGGUGUGUCGUGAGGCAUGCUGGAGGUAUCAGAAGUGCGAAUGCUGACAUAAGUAACGAUAAAGCGGGUGAAAAGCCCGCUCGCCGGAAGACCAAGGGUUCCUGUCCAACGUUAAUCGGGGCAGGGUGAGUCGACCCCUAAGGCGA